rnacentral:tRNA from 1 species
GCCACCGUAGCUCAGCUGGUAGAGCAGCUGAUUUGUAAUCAGCAGGUCGGGGGUUCGAAACCCUCCGGUGGCU